rnacentral:rRNA from 1 species
AGAGUUUGAUCAUGGCUCAGAACGAACGCUGGCGGCGCGUCUUAAGCAUGCAAGUCGAGCGGCAAGGUAGCAAUACCCUAGAGCGGCGGACUGGUGAGUAACACGUGGGUGAUCUACCUUUAGGUUGGGGAUAGCCAUUAGAAAUAGUGGGUAAUACCGAAUGCGGUUAUCAGACUGAGGUUUGAUAAAGAAAGAAGCUACGGCUUCGCCUGAAGAUGAGCCCGCGGCUCAUUAGCUAGUUGGCGGUGUAAUGGACCACCAAGGCGAUGAUGAGUAGCCGGCCUGAGAGGGUGAACGGCCACACUGGGACUGAGAUACGGCCCAGACUCCUACGGGAGGCAGCAGCUAAGAAUAUUCCGCAAUGGACGAAAGUCUGACGGAGCGACGCCGCGUGGAUGAGGAAGGCCGAAAGGUUGUAAAGUCCUUUUGUCGAUGAAGAAUAAGUGUGGUAGGGAAUGACCGCAUGAUGACGUUAGUCGGCGAAUAAGCCCCGGCUAAUUACGUGCCAGCAGCCGCGGUAACACGUAAGGGGCAAGCGUUGUUCGGAAUUAUUGGGCGUAAAGGGUACGUAGGCGGUUAUGUAAGCCCGGCGUGAAAUCCUGCAGCUUAACUGUAGAAUUGCGCUGGGAACUGCGUAACUCGAGUCAUGGAAGGGAAGUUAGAAUUCCAGGUGUAGGGGUGAAAUCUGUAGAUAUCUGGAAGAAUACCGGUGGCGAAGGCGAACUUCUGGCCAAUGACUGACGCUGAGGUACGAAAGUGCGGGGAGCGAACAGGAUUAGAUACCCUGGUAGUCC